ensembl:misc_RNA 7SK 7SK RNA
GGAUGUGAGGGCAUUCUGGCUGGGACAUCUGUCACCCCAUUGAUCAUCGUGGUUGACUCAGUUGAUCGGGUUGACUAGAUGGGUGUCCCCUUCCUCCCUCCCUGCUCCAUGUGCAUCCCUGCCAGAGCUGAGUGCUCUGUGGGUCAAUGAGGAUGACCUUCCCUGAAUACAGGAGGGCCAGUCUUCAGUCAAGGGUACGCAAGUAACUGUGCUCCCCUGCUAGACCCUCCUAGGGAACUCUCAAGAAAUAGACAACAUCUGAGCACUUCCUC